rnacentral:misc_RNA from 1 species
AUUUCAGUGCCCUGCAUGCCCUCAUACCUGCUCACAAAAGAGUCAUCUGAACAAACACCUGCGCACCCACACAGGUGAGAGGCCAUUUCAGUGCCCUUCAUGCCCUCAGAGCUUCUCACGAAA